CACGUAGGGCGCGAGCGUUGUCCGGAAUUAUUGGGCGUAAAGAGCUCGUAGGCGGCUUGUCACGUCGGGUGUGAAAGCCCGGGGCUUAACCCCGGGUCUGCAUUCGAUACGGGCUAGCUAGAGUGUGGUAGGGGAGAUCGGAAUUCCUGGUGUAGCGGUGAAAUGCGCAGAUAUCAGGAGGAACACCGGUGGCGAAGGCGGAUCUCUGGGCCAUUACUGACGCUGAGGAGCGAAAGCGUGGGGAGCGAACAGG
rnacentral:rRNA from 1 species